rnacentral:tRNA from 12 species
GCCUCGAUGGUGAAAUCGGUAGACACAGGAGACUUAAAAUCUCCCGCCGCAAGGCGUGCCGGUUCGAUUCCGGCUCGAGGCA